AUGAUCCAGAUUGACUCAGACCAGUGGUCGGCAGAUCGCGCUACCGCCGCCGUGCCUAUAUAUAUAUGGAGCUGUAGCUUAAGUAUAAUAUAUUUUCCAUCUCCGCAGCGGCCAGCCGGCGGUGACGUACCUCAGCACAUAUAUAUGGAUAGGCGAGCAAUAGACGGCGACCGUGGCGGCCCGUCAAGGAGGCCGCCGACCAGCGCCGGGCGGACGGCGCCAAAGCACGGGGUGAAGGUUACGCACAUCGUCCCGAGGGAGGUGAUCGCGGACGAGACCAGCUUCAAAGACGUCGUGCAGAGGCUCACCGGGAAAGACUCUGCGGCAGCGCGUCUGGAACUCCUCGGCGACUGUAAUCCAGUAAGAAUGACGGCGGCGCCAGCGGUGGCGGACGCCGGUGUGUCGAUCCGGAGCUGUAAUGACGGCACGGAGGCCGCCGGUGGCUCGAGCCCGAAGAGCAAUGGCAGCGUGGAGGGCGGCGACGGUGGUGCAGCUGGGGUUUUCCCUGCAGUUUCGUUGUUCGAGGACAUGGUGGCAGCUGAUGUGCUCCCGUCCUUGGACGAAAUGAAUUGCUGGUGGGGCACGCGUGAUUGA
rnacentral:rRNA from 1 species